UACGAAGGGGGCUAGCGUUGUUCGGAAUUACUGGGCGUAAAGCGCGCGUAGGCGGUUUUGCAAGCCAGAGGUGAAAUGCCUGAGCUUAACUUAGGAAUUGCCUUUGGGACUGCGAGGCUUUGAGGACGGGAGAGGUGAGUGGAAUUCCCAGUGUAGAGGUGAAAUGCGUAGAUAUCUGAAGGAACAUCAGUGGCGAAAGCGACUUCCUGGACCAAUACUGACGCUCAUGUGCGAAAGCGUGGGGAGCAAACAGG
rnacentral:rRNA from 1 species